GACGAACGCUGGCGGCGUGCUUAACACAUGCAAGUCGAACGGUGAAGCCCUUCGGGGUGGAUCAGUGGCGAACGGGUGAGUAACACGUGAGCAACCUGCCCCUGGCUCUGGGACAACCACUGGAAACGGUGGCUAAUACCGGAUACGACCCGCCUCGGCAUCGAGUGUGGGUGGAAAGUUUUUCGGCUGGGGAUGGGCUCGCGGCCUAUCAGCUUGUUGGUGAGGUGAAGGCUCACCAAGGCGACGACGGGUAGCCGGCCUGAGAGGGCGACCGGCCACACUGGAACUGAGACACGGCCCAGACUCCUACGGGAGGCAGCAGUGGGGAAUAUUGCACAAUGGGCGAAAGCCUGAUGCAGCGACGCCGCGUGAGGGAUGACGGCCUUCGGGUUGUAAACCUCUUUCAGCUCCGAAGAAGCGAAAGUGACGGUAGGAGCAGAAGAAGCACCGGCUAACUACGUG
rnacentral:rRNA from 1 species